rnacentral:rRNA from 1 species
UACAGAGGGUGCAAGCGUUGUUCGGAAUUAUUGGGCGUAAAGCGCGUGUAGGCGGCUUUGCAAGUCGGGUGUGAAAGCCCUCAGCUCAACUGAGGAAGUGCGCCCGAAACUGCAGAGCUUGAGUACCGGAGAGGAUGGCGGAAUUCCCCAAGUAGAGGUGAAAUUCGUAGAUAUCUGGAGGAAUACCGGUGGCGAAGGCGGCAUCCUGGACCGGCAUUGACGCUGAAGCGCGAAAGCUAGGGGAGCAAACGGG